CCAAACUAUUUAAUCAUCCACUUUUGAAGUUUGGAAAAGCCAGCUUCAUCUCUCUCCCAAUUGUGCUCACACUGAAAGCUCUUUUGGGAGCAAGAGGAGGCUUAUGAGGAGUGGAGGUCACUGGCUGUCAACACUCGGGCAUGGAAAAUACGGAAAACUCUCCUGAAGUUGUUAUGGUCACAGAAACACCCUGAAUGGCACAGAUAAGUUGUGUGGCAGCCUAGGAGUUACGCUGACCCAUAAAACCUCACGCAAACUUCAAAAUUACAGCGGAAAAAGGCAGACAAAACAAAACAAAAAAAAAACAUUGGUGUAUAUCGCGCAGGGGUAACCGUGAACCUAAAGAAACACACAUUUGACAAGGCUUUCGUAGGAGUUGUGGGCAUUUUUUUUAACCCGGUAGCAGCGGGGAUCAUGUUUCUUAAUGGUCCCUCCAAGCGAGAAAAAUGAGAAAAAUCACCCCUCACACAAACCAUUUCAUAAUAUAUAUCAAAGCAUUUGUGAUCAGAUUAUGUAUCAUCUAUUUUUUGGGGGUUAUAUCAUGGCACAAAUUUGGCCCGUCGCUGCUACACGGUAAAGCCACAAAUUUGGCCCGUCACUGCUACACGGUAAAGCCACAAAUUUGGCCUGUCGCUGCUACACAGUAAAGCCACAAAUUUGGCCCGUCGCUGCUACACGGUAAAGCCACAAAUUUGGCCGGUCGCUGCUACACGGUAAAGCCACAAAUUUGGCCCGUCGCUGCUACACGGUAAAGCCACAAAUUGGGCCCAUCGCUGCUAUAUGGUAAAGCCACAAAUUUGGCCCGUCGCUGCUACACGGUAAAGCCACAAAUUUGGCCCGUCGCUGCUACACGGUAAAGCCACAAAUUUGGCCCGUCACUGCUACACGGUAAGGCCACAAAUUUGGCCCGUCGCUGCUACACGGGAAAGCCACACUUAAGAUUACACAGCACCAUUAAUACAUAACCAAUCGCUUUCAUGUUUUGGCCGUGAAUAGUCAUUACGUAAGCCUAGAGCCCUAUGGAAAAUAUUCUGAAGGUUUCCCGUAUAGAAAGGCACAAAGGUAUUUCUUAUAUUAUGUUUGUCGAACGUUGCGUAAAAUCGUGUAUUUUGUCAAAUUUUCCUCUUAAUACUCCUAUCUCCUUUACCCUAUCAGCAAUAUCUAGUCAUAGGUCCAUAGCUACUUGUACAGUCAAGAUUCCCUGCACUUUUCACGUAAAUAUGAUUGAUUUUAAAGUUUCUACGAUUAAAAAAGAAAAACAUUGACUUUUCACUCGGUCCGUUUAAACCCGCGCAAGACAUUUAGGGUAAUUAUAAGACUUUAUCUUCUAAUAUCAGCUAUUUCUAAAGGUCAAAGAAGGGGUCAGUUGGGUUCUAAUGAGAGUUUCUUUAGGUUCACGGUACAGAGGAAGGGUCAGACUACCACCAGGGUCAUAAAACUACCCCUGGAAAUGCCCACAACUCCUACGAAAGCCUUGUCAAAUGUGUGUUUCUUUAGGUUCACGGUACAGAGGAAGGGUCAGACUCCCACAAGGGUCAUAAAACUACCCCUGGAAAUGCCCACAACUCCUACGAAAGCCUUGUCAAAUGUGUGUUUCUUUAGGUUCACGGUACAGAGGAAGGGUCAGACUACCACCAGGGUCAUAAAACUACCCCUGGAAAUGCCCACAACUCCUACGAAAGCCUUGUCAAAUGUGUGUUUCUUUAGGUUCACGGUACAGAGGAAGGGUCAGACUACCACCAGGGUCAUAAAACUACCCCUGGAAAUGCUCACAACUCCUACGAAAGCCUUGUCAAAUAUGUGUUUCUUUAGGUUCACGGUACAGAGGAAGGGUCAGACUACCACCAGGGUCAUAAAACUACCCCUGGAAAUGCCCACAACUCCUACGAAAGCCUUGUCAAAUGUGUUUCUUUAGGUCCACGGUACAGAGGAAGGGUCAGACUACCACCAGGGUCAUAAAACUACCCCUGGAAAUGCCCACAACUCCUACGAAAGCCUUGUCAAAUGUGUGUUUCUUUAGGUUCACGGUACAGAGGAAGGGUCAGACUACCACCAGGGUCAUAAAACUACCCCUGGAAAUGCCCACAACUCCUGCGAAAGCCUUGUCAAAUAUGUGUUCUUGGGCGGCGAAAUGUCUCAUAAUAUAUAAAACGACCCUUAAAAUUUGCGUUACAAGGAAAUCAUUGCUCGGGGUUAUUUAUAAAUGGUAUAUGAAUGUUUUUAACCCAGUAUUGCAGAAUGUUAUAUUUCGACCAAAACGCCACCUCCCAGAUGUCACGUACCCCCUUAAGCUAAAUGAGAUAAUGAGAGUUCUUUUAUGAUUUCCUGUAAAGUAGAAAAUGAUGAUUAGGUGACGAUAUUUUGAUGUGGCAUGUAACUAUGUCUUUGUAAUGUUUAUUUUUUG